rnacentral:rRNA from 1 species
UCCGGUUGAUCCUGCCAGAGGCGACCGCUAUUGGAGUUCGAUUAAGCCAUGCGAGUAGAAAGAAAUUAGAUUCUUUGCAUACUGCUCAGUAACACGUGGAUAACCUGCCCUACACUGGGGGAUAAUCUCGGGAAACUGAGGAUAAUACCCCAUAGACCACUACGCCUGGAACGGUGAGUGGUUGAAAGCUCAGGCGGUGUAGGAUGGGUCUGCGGCGUAUCAGGUCGUAGGGGGUGUAAUGGACCUCCUAGCCAUCGACGCGUACGGGUUGUGGGAGCAAUAGCCCGGAGACGGAUUCUGAGACACGAAUCCGGACCCUACGGGGUGCAGCAGGCGCGAAAACUUCACACUGCAGGAAACUGUGACGAGGGAACUCCAAGUGACUGCACAAUGUGUAGCCUUUUCUUGAAUCUUAAUAGUUCUUGGAAUAAGGGCUGGGAAAGACCGGUGCCAGCCGCCGCGGUAAUACCGGCAGCUCAAGUGGUCGUCGCUUUUAUUGGGCCUAAAACGUCCGUAGCCUGUUUGGUAAAUCUGUGGGUAAAUCAACGAGCUUAACUCGUUGAAUUCUGCAGAGACUGCCAGACUAGGGACCGGGAGAGGUAUGAGGUACUCUGGGGGUAGGGGUAAAAUCCUGUCAUCCUCAGAGGACCACCUGUUGCGAAGGCGUCAUACUGGAACGGAUCCGACGGUCAGGGACGAAGCCUAGGGGCACGAACCGGAUUAGAUACCCGGGUAGUCCUAGGUGUAAACGCUGUGGAUUUGGUGUGUGGGGUCCGCAAUGGGCCCCAUGUGCCGGAGUGAAGAUGUUAAAUCCACUGCCUGGGGAGUACGGUCGCAAGGCUGAAACUUAAAGGAAUUGGCGGGGGAGCACUGCAACGGGAGGAGCGUGCGGUUUA